rnacentral:rRNA from 1 species
GCCAAACACUGCUCUCGCGUUUAACGAAUGCCAGUCGACCGAAAGGGCCCUUCCUCUGCGGGAUGCACGAGUGGCGAGCGGGUGCGUAGCACGAAAGUAAUCCCCCAAUGAAUUCGGGAUGACUUCUGGAGACUGGGGCUACUACCGAAUAGGGGGUUCUGAUGCCUGUGGGGGGUUGGAAUGUUUCGGCGUUUUGGGAUGGAGUCGCGGCUCAUCCGCUUGCUGGUGGGGUAGUGGCUUACCAAGGCUUUGCCGGGUAGCCGGCAUGAGAGGGUGACCGGCCAAAUUGGGACGGAGAUACGGCACAGACUCCUACGGGGGGCAGCAGUGGGGAAUAUUGCACAACGGGCGGAAGCCUGAUGCAGCAACGCCGCGUGCGGGAUGACGGUCUUCGGGUUGAAAACCGCUUUCGCCUGUGACGAAGCGUAAGGGACGGUAAUGGGUAAAGAAGCACCGGCUAACUACGUG